CAGCCGCCACGGUAAUACGAAGGUCCCAAGCGUUGUUCGGAAUCACUGGGCGUAAAGGGAGCGUAGGCGGCGUGGUAAGUCAGAUGUGAAAUCCCGGGGCUCAACCCCGGAACUGCAUCCGAUACUGCCAUGCUUGAGGGUUGGAGAGGUAGCUGGAAUUCUUGGUGUAGCAGUGAAAUGCGUGGAUAUCAAGAGGAACACUCGUGGCGAAGGCGAGCUACUGGACAACAUCUGACGCUGAGGCUCGAAGGCCAGGGUAGCGAAAGGGAUUAGAUACCCGCGUAGUCCCUGUCUCUUAUAC
rnacentral:rRNA from 1 species